rnacentral:rRNA from 1 species
AACGAACGCUGGCGGCGUGCCUAACACAUGCAAGUCGAGCGCGAAAGGAGCAAUCCGAGUAGAGCGGCGCACGGGUGCGUAACACGUGGAUAAUCUGCCUCAGGGUUGAGGAUAACCUUCCGAAAGGUUGGCUAAUACUCGGUAAGCUUACGGUGACUUCGGUCGCUGUGAGAAAACUAGACCUCUAUUUAUAAGUUUAGGCCCAGAGAUGAGUCCGCGGCCCAUCAGCUAGUUGGCGGGGUAACGGCCCACCAAGGCGAGGACGGGUAGCUGGUCUGAGAGGACGAUCAGCCACACUGGAACGGAGACACGGGCCAGACUCCUACGGGAGGCAGCAGUGGGGAAUUUUCCACAAUGGGCGAAAGCCUGAUGGAGCAACGCCGCGUGUGUGAUGAAGGUCUUCGGAUCGUAAAGCACUUUCGACUGGGACGAAAAACCUUUGGCUAACAUCCAGGGGCCUGACGGUACCAGGAGAAGAAGCACCGGCUAACUCUGUGCCAGCCGCCGCCGUAACAC